rnacentral:rRNA from 1 species
AUUGAACGCUGGCGGUAGGCCUAACACAUGCAAGUCGAACGCGAAAGUCCUUCGGGAUGAGUAGAGUGGCGGACGGGUGAGUAACGCGUAGGAAUCUAUCCUGUAGUGGGGGAUAACGUUUCGAAAGGAACGCUAAUACCGCAUACGCCCCAAGGGGGAAAGCGGGGGAUCUUCGGACCUCGUGCUAUAGGAGGAGCCUGCGUCGGAUUAGCUAGUUGGUGAGGUAAAGGCUCACCAAGGCGACGAUCCGUAGCUGGUCUGAGAGGAUGAUCAGCCACACCGGAACUGAGACACGGUCCGGACUCCUACGGGAGGCAGCAGUGGGGAAUAUUGCGCAAUGGGCGAAAGCCUGACGCAGCCAUACCGCGUGUGUGAAGAAGGCCUUCGGGUCGUAAAGCUCUGUUGUUAGGGAAGAACAAGUACCGGAGUAACUGCCGGUACCUUGACGGUACCUAACCAGAAAGCCACGGCUAACUACGUGCCAGCCGCCGCCGUAACAC